UCUCCUGGAAAACGGGUGGUAAUGCCGGAUGCUCCAGUUGACCGCAUGGUCCUCUGGGAAAGCUUUUGCGGUAUGGGAUGGGGUCGCGUCCUAUCAGCUUGAUGGCGGGGUAACGGCCCACCAUGGCUUCGACGGGUAGCCGGCCUGAGAGGGCGACCGGCCACAUUGGGACUGAGAUACGGCCCAGACUCCUACGGGAGGCAGCAGUGGGGAAUAUUGCACAAUGGGCGCAAGCCUGAUGCAGCGACGCCGCGUGCGGGAUGACGGCCUUCGGGUUGUAAACCGCUUUUGACUGGGAGCAAGCCCUUCGGGGUGAGUGUACCUUUCGAAUAAGCACCGGCUAACUACGUGCCAGCAGCCGCGGUAAUACGUAGGGUGCAAGCGUUAUCCGGAAUUAUUGGGCGUAAAGGGCUCGUAGGCGGUUCGUCGCGUCCGGUGUGAAAGUCCAUCGCUUAACGGUGGAUCCGCGCCGGGUACGGGCGGGCUUGAGUGCGGUAGGGGAGACUGGAAUUCCCGGUGUAACGGUGGAAUGUGUAGAUAUCGGGAAAGAACACCA
rnacentral:rRNA from 1 species